CUGCAUCCCUCGGAGCCGGGGACCCAGGCGCCAGGCGGGCGGUUGAACCUGACCAGUCCCCUCCCAAUCCCCGCAACCCCCCCCCCCAGCCUCCGAGUGUGUGUGGGGGGGAACCCAGGCCUGGAGGGAGGCUGGGCAGGUGCCGAGGGCUGUGCCGAAAGCGCUGAAAUCAAAAACCCUCGCCACUCAGGAAGAAUUGAGGCAAAAGGAUUACAGAUGCUGCUCGAGGACAGCCCUGUACUCCCGCAAGUGCCUGGUAGCCCAUGGGCCCGCGGGGAUCUGCAGUUCGCUGUCGGCUGCCCCUUGUGAGCGCUGAGUCGGGAGGAGGGCGCAGGCAAGGCGCAAGACUCUGAGCGCUCCCCUACCCUGCUCGGGCCCGCAGCAGCCCGGACUGUCGCAGAGCCUCUCUGCAGGGAAGGCUCUGCGCCGCCCUCUGAGCCCACCUCGUGGCCACAACGCUGCUAGCGCUUCUCCAGCCCAGGCCGGAAGCACUCCGCUGCCUCCCGAAGCGGGGAAAGCCAAGGAAAGCGAGCCCCAGAAGGCCUGUGACAGCUGCACCCAGUUCCCCCUUGCUCAACUCGGAACAGCCAACCCAAGGGGUCAGGAAGAUCCGGAGCUGGCCGACCCCAGACUGAUUCUCAACAGGUGGCUGGGUAAGUCUGUUUAAAGAAUUCUGUGUAAAUCCUCCGCUCCUCCCCGACCCUUCCUUUUCCCCUCCCUCUUUCCCCCUAGGCGGGUCCGAAUUCUCUGGGCUCCUCCCGCCAACGAUGGCUCGGGUUGGGGGGUGGGGCGGGGUGGCAGGGUACUAGCGCCCUACCACGGAGGUUUUCUGGCUCUCGGUUCCAGGUUAGUAGACCCCUUGUGAAGCUCCACCCGGUACCCCGGAGUCCCAAUCACCAAUGAUUACUCUCAGCUUCUUGCACUGAACCUCUGCUCCCCGAGAGGGGGAAGGAGGCAGAGCGCGCAGCAGAACCUCGAGAUUUGAACCUGCAGGAAAGGGUUCGAGGGAUCGCUGGACCAGCGGUCUUGGUGUAGGGGUCACAGAGGAAAAAGAGUUCGCCAUCCUCUUUGUGGGAGACACGAGAGACUGCUUGGAGGGAUGCGCGCCUGCUGCACAAAGCCGGGCAGAGGAGUAGGGAGUGGUUCUGCAACCGAGGAUAGUGGUGGGUUGGGGGAGGAGGUAGAAGAGGCCAAAAGAGGGGGGAGGAGAACCAAAGAAAGGGAAGGGCAAGAUAUCCAGGUCAUCCGAGAGAAAAGUCCAAAAAUGUGCCUAAUGCGUGCAUGCAUAGAGCAGACGCGCGCUCGGGGGCGCACAAUCUCUCUCUCUCUCUCUCUCUCUCUCUCUCUCUCUCUCUCUCUCUCUCUCUCUCUCUCUCUCUCCUUCUACACAGGUAGUCCCCCAGUCCCCCACACACUCUGUGUUAGUCGUACAGGGCCCAUCGCACACAGAGAAACCACCUUACUCCACACCCCACACCUCACCCCGCCGGCCCAAAGACUGACCACCUGCGCAGGAGUCGGGAGGGAGGGAAGCCGGGAUGACACUAGGGUAGGGGAGCAGGGAGGAUCUUACCUGCGGAAAGGUAAGAGAAGCAGGGAACUUGUAGCAGCGGCGGAUAAAUAUUCAUUAGGAAGUGUAAGUCCUUUCAAAGGGCUUGGCGCGCGCGCUCUAGCUCCUGUCUCUCUCCCUCUCUCUCUCUCCCUCCCUCUGUCCGCCAGGAAGGCUUCCCCUCCUCUAGCUAUCUCAACGCCGCUCCCCCCCCCCUCCUGCGAAAUACCGGGUGGAUCUGAGGCUAGCUAACCUGUUGGGGAGCCUGAACUGCGGCAGCGCCUCUACAGCUAGCAGUUUGCUUUCGCUCCUGGGGCGCGGGUUACCCCCCCAUUCUCUCCCCUCCCUCCUUUCGCCCAGCCCCUCACCCCUCCUAAAUUACUACAUCAUUAGCUUUAUUGGGGGGAGCAGCCACACGCACCUCUCCAUAGAAGGGUGACUAGUUGGUGCCCUGCGUUACAACCCCAACUCCAUUUCCACCUCAUUCUCACCCAUCUGCACAUUCUCACCCAAUCUUGCUUCCUUUUCUUCGCUCUUUCCACCUCCACCUCCAUCCUGUGUCAGUCUAACUCCCUCAGCAGCCCUCCCACCCGCCGCCGCCAAUCCGGAGCACAGAUUGGGUUGGGAGUGAGACAGCAAGGCAGUUAGGUCCGAAGGUCCUGUGUGUCGAGGUUAGAACUCCUCCCUGCCGUGAGUAUGGGGUGGUUAUCAAGAUCUCCUUCUCCUUCCUGACCCUGCGAGGUUACCAAAUAGCUUGGACCUUUGAAUCAGAUCUCUGGAGUGAGCCUUAAGAACUCCAGUCAUACAGAUCUCAGGGCCUGGCCCUUUCACCCGCCAGGAAAGCUGCUUGAGGGAAGGGGAGAAGUGGCUUCAGUCAGCACCAACGCGCAGGAAAAACUCCUAGGCCGACAGUCGGACUAAUAUUCGUCCUUUAAGAACACACUACCUGAAGUUAGUCGCAUGUCAUCUUCAAUCAAGGAAAGAAAAAAAAACCCUCACAUCUAGAAGAUUCCCUAAAGCCAGUUCCAACAGCACUCGAAAGUGUGAGCUCACACCCUUCUCGGUGCACGCCCCAGUGCCUGCUCUCUCGCGGGCGGGUGAAAAUAACAGGCUGCCCAGGCCAGAGGUGAGAAGGCGGCGGAGGAAUACAUCGCUUAGGGUUGUUUAGGAACUUAAAUAACUGUUUUCAGUACUCUGCUUCUGCUAUCAGGUCCUUAGGUUCCUCUAGGGACCCUGAAAAGUGGCUUCGGCCCACGGUGCCUAGGGAGAGACUCUAGCUCUGGCUCUCCUACUGGGAGCUUAAAGUUGGGGUGAGGGCUUUAAGGAGGGGCCGAGGGGGCGGGCCCUCUAGUUUGCAGUCGUAAGUGCAGUUGCGCCUGGGACUCCAAAAAAGUAGAGUUUCGCCCCCUAACGCUCAGGGUGCUUGGAGGCUCCCCGAGCUUAACUACGGAGCUUCUGCUCUCUCUUGAGCCCCAGGGCAACACAGGACGCGACGGUGGCCAGGAUGCCAGCUGACGUCUAAGACUUCAUUUGCCUUUCAUUUUGGCUGUUCGGAGCUACUGUCUACCAGGGGAGGUUCUAGAAGCUGGUCGCACCCGUCCUGAAUCCAUCCUGUGAGGUGACAGAGGGUCGCUCCUUCAUAUUAAAGGUUAGCAUAAUACUUACUAGGGUAGAGAAAGGUAUGGGGGAAAAAAGGCCUAGGGUAUCUAGGGCUCAGAGACUUGCCAACAUUACAGCUCACCCAAAGUCCAGAACCUCCCUUUCUGCACCUUCUCUCCCCAACACACAUCCCUAAGGUCUCAUCCUCAUCCUACCUUACAGAAGGUAAAGUGUGUGAGAACACACUUAGGAAAAUGAUAGGAAUGUUAAAUCAGUACUGGAGGAAUAAAGAUGUGUGCAAGGAAUGGAUCGGAUACAUGGGCACACACCUUGUCCAGAUGCAGACAAAAGCUAACCGUGUCCACAUGGAGUGACCCCCAAACAUGCACAAAAGUGUACAGGAAGCCAAGGAGAGUGGGGCCAGCCAGCUCAUCUUCCUUCAAGAUGCCCAGUGGUCCUGGAGAAAAAUCUUCAUUGAAUCUUCUGUAUGGAAAGUUUCAGGCCAUGCCCUGAAGAAAAGACCAAGGAAUCAUCGGGCUCUCCUACCUGCUCUGUUGGAGACACCCAGAAGAGGGCAAUGCAGGAAAGAUUCCUUUUGCUUCUGUUAUUUCUUUUGGUUGCUGUCUUUUUCACCCUUUGCCUGGGAAAUUGUGAUCUGGAAUAGGGCUUGAGUAGGCAGCACAGGCCUCCACUAGAUAACAAGAGAUUCUCAAUUUCCAAUGAGGACAUUCAGUUCUAAGGAAGCUUCCAGAUAUGGGAAAGACCCAUUUUGUUCCCUUUCCUCUUCUGAGAUCUGAAAAAACAAACAAACAAGCAAACAAACAAACAAACAAAAACUAUAGCCCAGCCCCGUGUACAUCAAAUAAAUCCACAAGGACUAUGUUAGACCAAGCUAAGUUAUGUAUUUAACUCAUUUUCUUUUGUGAGAUACUGAGAAGUCUUCAACUUCCUCUAUUCCGGGCAGGGAUUGAGGUCCUGGCCUGGCAGAGGUUCCACAACAGGGUUUCCCACAGUGGUUCUGGGGCUCGGCUUAAGGUGUACAGACGUGUUUUCUCGGUCACCUCCUCUGCAUGUUGAGUCCUGUGGAACAGUCCCAGACAAUGGCUGCCCCAGUUCCUUCUAGAAGAGGCAGGGGCUGCUCAGAGCACCGCUGCCCCUCCCGACCUCACCUCAUUUUCCAAUGUGCUCUCUUGAGCUCAUUCUCUGAGCCUCUCCCUCUUAAAGUAGUAGGCAUGAGUCUUGGCCAACUAAAAGAAAAGACUAGGGAAGGGGAGGAAGGAAGUGGGAAAGAGAGCUGCCUCCUGGGCCAACGUGUCCAAUAACCACUCUCUAAGGAGCAAAAGAGAGCAUGUGUUGUAGAGAAGAAGUGACCCCCCCUCCCCUGAACAUUUCUGCAGGGCACAUUGCAACAGAUGUAACUGUCCACUGAGGAGAUGGAGGGUAUGAAUAGGGAAGAAUUUAAUUCCUGGACAUUUUAGUGAAAGUGUUCUAGAUUGUAUUUUGAACAAUAAACUGUGAAAAUCAAAUUCGAGCCCACGCAAUCUGAAUCUUCCUUGGGAGGGCUGGUUCUUUCAGAGCUGUCUUUUUCUCCAGGUCACUUUUCUCUCACCCCCAAUGGGAGUCACCUGCUGAUGCUCCUCAGGAAGAGGCUGUGACUGAAAGAGUGAAGUGAAUACAGGCACAUCAUUCUCAGAACCAAAAUGUACCCUGGUUCCUUCUAGCUAAGAUUCAGAACAUGAAGAAACUGGUUGCCUUUGAACGCCCUCACCUUCUCUAAGAAGAAGUUUCUAGCCUUUCGCACAACAAACCACAGCAUUUUAGAACUGGAAAUGUUUCUUCAAACUUUAACUUAAAAAAAAAAUGUUUAUGGGGCUUUAGCUGGAACACUUGUAACAUUCAGUUCUCAAGGAAAGAUCAACUGCUUUCUCAUAACCCCAACUGUUCCACACACUUUACAGGAUGUAAUGUAUUUUCUUUCUUAUCCUUGUGCCUUCUGCCCAGGACACAGGCCUAGGGGCAAAGCUUCCAAGGUCUGUGACCUCUUGAUAGCACCUGUAAUUGUUCGCCUUUUGUUUUUGUGCCUUGAAAAUCUCUCAUAUACGUCUAUGAAUAUAUGCAUGUGCAUGCGUGUGCU